AUUUGCAUCCUUUUACACGUUUCCAAGAAAGUGAUGUAGUAGUUGCACGAUCAUCUGGUUGCUGUAAUAGUGUACCCUAAAAAGAAACAAUAAAGGCUGAGAGGACUAAGAUUUUGCAAGCUGCUUUUCAUAAUUAUUUGAAGUAAUACAGCCAAACCAAAAAAACAAAAAGAAAAACCAUAUUUUAGAAGGUCUGUUAUAUAUCCUUUUUAAAGCAACUCACCAGCAUCCAGAAGUUUCCUCACACGCAAAUAACUGAUGGUAAGCCUCAUAACAGAAGCCUUAUCAAGAUGUGAGCUCACGUUAUGGGGAAGUGGCAACUGAUGAGCAAGUUCAUAAAAAACUUCAGACUCUUUGCUUCGUCGAGAUCUGGCUGCAUCUCUAGACUUUUCUUUUCGACGUUCAGAACUUAUCCUACUUAACAACAAAAACAACAAAAAAGAGACAAAAAAUGUAUAUAAGCUAAUAUGCCUUAGCUUGAAUAAAAUUAAUUUUACAUUUUUCUUACCACAGGAUUAGAAGAUGCCAUGUAAUUAAAUUGUAAGAGAUUUGUCUAGUAGAUUAAUGCAUUCUUAUACAAGAUGACUCUACAUAUUUUGGAUCACUGCAAACAAUAAGGAACUCUCACAAGACCAAGAUUAAGGUUUAAACUUUGCCAAAGCAGGUGUUUCCUCUUUAGCAUCUCAAAUUGGAGAUGUUUUUAUUUUAGCUAAAAACUUCAAGAGACCUACAUAUCUAAGUGUGUACUUAAUAGUCUUUCACAUGUAGUCUAAACAAAAGAAACCAUGAUUAAUUCUGGAAAAACAACCUAAAGUUGUACAUAAGAACUUGAGAACAGGAGUUGUUAAGUAGAUACACCGAUUUUUAAUGUAACUUUCUUUUGACCCCAAUAUUGUUCUACUUUUCUACCCUACCUACCAAAUGAGGAACACCAACAGUAAGCUAUAGAAAUUCAUAUUAAGCUAUAAUAAGCUACUUUUUUCAGGUUGCCUACUUCCUUAGCAGCCUUUUAUCUAUUACUGGAGUAAUGGGUACAAAAUAAAUGCAGGAAAACAAAGUACAUGUAUAAAAGCAUGAUUUGGUGUGAACAUACUCCAUAUACAAAGAUAUGAAAAAUUGUAUUCUAUAUGUGUAAUAAGAAUUGUAAUGCAUUCUUGCUGUCGUGCAUUUAAAAAAAUAAAUAAAACAAAAAAAUGCAGGAGGAUGGAGGAAAAUAAAGAUGUGGCACAAUACCAAAAUUUAAAGGGACAGGUUGGUGAAGAUAAUAAAGGUGUUAAUAUAAUGAUAAAUCUUUAGGGAAUUCUUCCAAGAAUAAAUUCAAAAAGAUCACAUAAAUUGACUUCCUUUGCUUAACUACUAAGCUCCAUCUUAUUGAUGGAGUUGAAGUUAAGUCUAAAUCUGGUUCUUUUUUUGGCAGCUUCUUUAAUGGCUAUUGUUAUUAAAGCCUACUAUGUACAAAACACUGCCCUGUAAUAGGUGCCUAAUAGAUUAAAUAGUAUCCGUAUUUUACAAAUGAGGAAACAGAUUCUGCAGGUUAAAAUCAACAAUUCUGUAGCAAAUAAUUUAAAAGCAGGUAUUUUAAAAGCAAAUCUGUUCUUCCACAAUUUUCUCUUAAUAUAAAAUGCUGCCUGUUUUAAAUACUCAGCUGAUCUUCUUUGCCCUUCAACUCAAUCCUGUUAGUCAAUUAUUUACUAAAUGUUGAAAACAGCCCUUGAAAUUUACUGGGCAUUCAGCAGUGUAACAGAGGCUUAUUUCACUUAAUCCUCCUCAUAACCUAUGAAUGAAGUACAUAAUUGUCUCCACCUCAAGUCUCUCUUCCCUUUAAAAGAUCUUCAAAGCUAAAAGGUACAAUCAUAAAAACAACUUCUCAAGUAACAAGCAGUUUUCUCAGUUAUGCUGUACAAUAUGAAAAUACCUAACAGUUUUAUUUUGACAAUAGAGAUACUAUCGUUUAUAAGUUUGUGUUUAUGUGACUAUUAUGAUUUAAUAAAAAUGUAAACAUUGAUUAUAGUAACUGAUAAAAAUUUUCAGUUCAAGCUAUCAUUUGUAACUAAUUAUCUUUAUGAAGCAUGGUUUUCUCAGUUCUCUACAAUAAAAAUUAGACCCUGAGACUCCAUGAAAAUGCAACAAUGUCAACAGCCUGCUACUGUUAUUUUUUAGGUGCAUUAGAACUGCUUCAUUGUUCUCACUGACUAAAUGUUUUCAAAUAAAUUUUAAAAUAAAUUGUA